CAGCAGCCGCGGGAAUACGUAGGUCCCGAGCGUUGUCCGGAUUUAUUGGGCGUAAAGCGAGCGCAGGCGGUUAGAUAAGUCUGAAGUUAAAGGCUGUGGCUUAACCAUAGUACGCUUUGGAAACUGUUUAACUUGAGUGCAAGAGGGGAGAGUGGAAUUCCUAGUGUAGCGGUGAAAUGCGUAGAGAUUAGGAGGAACACCAGUGGCGAAAGCACUCUGCUGGGCUGACACUGACACUGAGAGACGAAAGCUAGGGGAGCAAAUGGGAUUAGAUACCCGCGUAGUCCCUGUCUCUAUACAC
rnacentral:rRNA from 1 species